rnacentral:rRNA from 1 species
UAGGGAAUCUUCCGCAAUGGACGAAAGUCUGACGGAGCAACGCCGCGUGAGUGAAGAAGGUUUUCGGAUCGUAAAACUCUGUUGUCAGAGAAGAACAAGUCGGAGAGUAACUGCUCCGGCCUUGACGGUAUCUGACCAGAAAGCCACGGCUAACUACGUGCCAGCAGCCGCGGUAAUACGUAGGUGGCAAGCGUUGUCCGGAUUUAUUGGGCGUAAAGCGAGCGCAGGCGGUUCCUUAAGUCUGAUGUGAAAGCCCACGGCUCAACCGUGGAAGGUCAUUGGAAACUGGGGAACUUGAGUGCAGAAGAGGAGAGUGGAAUUCCAUGUGUAGCGGUGAAAUGCGUAGAUAUAUGGAGGAACACCAGUGGCGAAGGCGACUCUCUGGUCUGUAACUGACGCUGAGGCUCGAAAGCGUGGGGAGCAAACAG